rnacentral:misc_RNA from 1 species
GAAUUCAUAAUUCGGCGAGGGGAACGCGGAGGGUUGUAGCUGGCCUUUUUACCGAGGCACGUGCACGCUCUCUUCCGAACUCUCGCCGUAUGGGCGCGGGGCAACCCGCGUCUUUCAUCCCACCUCUUCGUGUAGAAAGUCUUUGAAUGUUUUUACCAUCAUCGAGUCGCGACUUCUAGGAGACGCGAUUCUUUGAGACAAAAGUUUAUUACAACUUUCAGCAAUGGAUCUCUUGGCUCU